rnacentral:rRNA from 1 species
GGACUACCGGGGUAUCUAAUCCUGUUUGCUCCCCACGCUGUCGCGCAUCAGCGUCAGUUGUGGCCCAGCCAACCGCCUUCGCCACCGGUGUUCUUCCGGAUCUCUACGCAUUCCACCGCUACACCCGGAAUUCCAUUGGCCUCUACCACACUCGAGCACGGGAGUAUCGCUGGCCGACUCAGAGUUGAGCCCUGAGCUUUCACCAACGACUACCCGCGCCGCCUACGCGCCCUUUACGCCCAGUGAUUCCGGACAACGCUCGCACCCUCCGUAUUACCGCGGCUGCUGGCAC